rnacentral:rRNA from 1 species
UGGCUCAUUAAAUCAGUUAUCGUUUAUUUGAUAGUACCUUACUACUUGGAUAACCGUGGUAAUUCUAGAGCUAAUACAUGCUAAAAACCCCAACUUCGGGAGGGGUGUAUUUAUUAGAUAAAAAACCAAUGCCCUUCGGGGCUCCUUGGUGAUUCAUGAUAACUUCUCAGAUCGCAUAGCCUUGUGCUGGCGACGGUUCAUUCAAAUUUCUGCCCUAUCAACUUUCGAUGGUAAGGUAGUGGCUUACCAUGGUUUCAACGGGUAACGGGGAAUUAGGGUUCGAUUCCGGAGAGGGAGCCUGAGAAACGGCUACCACAUCCAAGGAAGGCAGCAGGCGCGCAAAUUACCCAAUUCCGAUGCGGAGAGGUAGUGACAAUAAAUACUGAUACAGGGCUCUUUUGGGUCUUGUAAUUGGAAUGAGUACAAUUUAAACCUCUUAACGAGGAACAAUUGGAGGGCAAGUCUGGUGCCAGCAGCCGCGGUAAUUCCAGCUCCAAUAGCGUAUAUUAAAGUUGUUGCAGUUAAAAAGCUCGUAGUUGAACCUUUGGCCUGGCUGGCAGGUCCGCCUCACCGCGUGCACUUGUCCGGCCGGGCCUUUUCUUCUGGAGAACCGCAUGCCCUUCACUGGGUGUGUUGGGGACCAGGACUUUUACUUUGAAAAAAUUAGAGUGUUCAAAGCAGGCCUUUGCUCGAAUACGUUAGCAUGGAAUAAUAGAAUAGGACGUGCGGUCCUAUUUUGUUGGUUUCUAGGACCGCCGUAAUGAUUAAUAGGGACAGUCGGGGGCAUCAGUAUUCAAUUGUCAGAGGUGAAAUUCUUGGAUUUAUUGAAGACUAACUACUGCGAAAGCAUUUGCCAAGGAUGUUUUCAUUAAUCAGUGAACGAAAGUUAGGGGAUCGAAGACGAUCAGAUACCGUCGUAGUCUUAACCAUAAACUAUGCCGACUAGGGAUCGGGCGGUGUUUCUAUUGUGACCCGCUCGGCA